rnacentral:rRNA from 1 species
UACGUAGGGUGCAAGCGUUGUCCGGAAUUACUGGGCGUAAAGCGUGCGCAGGCGGUUUUGUAAGCCAGAUGUGAAAUCCCCGGGCUUAACCUGGGAAUGGCAUUUGGGACUGCAAGGCUCGAGUGCGGCAGAGGAGACUGGAAUUCCUGGUGUAGCAGUGAAAUGCGUAGAUAUCAGGAGGAACACCGGUGGCGAAGGCGGCUACCUGGGUCGACACUGACGCUGAGGCGCGAAAGCGUGGGGAGCAAACAGG